AUUGAACGCUGGCGGCAGGCCUAACACAUGCAAGUCGAACGAGUGGCGGACGGGUGAGUAAUGUCUGGGAAACUGCCCGACGGAGGGGGAUUACUACUGGAAACGGUAGCUUAUACCGCAUACCAUCGGAUGUGCCCAGAUGGGAUUAGCUCGUAGGUGGGGUAACGGCUCACCUAGGCGACGAUCCCUAGCUGGUCUGAGAGGAUGACCAGCCACACUGGAACUGAGAGACGGGCGAGACUCCUACGGGAGGCAGCAGUGGGGAAUAUGGCACAAUGGGCGCAAGCCUGAUGCAGCCAUGCCGCGUGUAUGAAGAAGGCCUUCGGGUUGUAAAGGACUUUCAGCGAGGAGGCGUUACUCGCAGAAGAAGCACCGGCUAACUCCGUGCCAGCAGCCGCGGUAAUAC
rnacentral:rRNA from 1 species